AUUGAACGCUGGCGGCAUGCCUAACACAUGCAAGUCGAGCGAGCGGCGGACGGGUGAGUAAUGUCUGGGAAACUGCCUUAUGGAGGGGGAUAACUACUGGAAACGGUAGCUAAUACCUCCUACCAUCAGAUGUGCCCAGCUGGGAUUAGCUAGUAGGUGGGGUAAUGGCUCACCUAGGCGACGAUCCCUAGCUGGUCUGAGAGGAGGACCGGCCACACUGGAACUGAGACACGGUCCAGACUCCUACGGGAGGCAGCAGUGGGGAAUAUUGCACAAUGGGCGCAAGCCUGAUGGAGCCAUGCCGCGUGUAUGAAGAAGGCUUUCGGGUUGUAAAGUACUUUCAGCGAGGAGGCGUUACUCGAAGAAGAAGCAACGGCUAACUCCGUGCCAGCAGCCGCGGUAAUUC
rnacentral:rRNA from 1 species